rnacentral:rRNA from 1 species
AGAGUUUGAUCAUGGCUCAGGAUAAACGCUGGCGGCGUGCCUAACACAUGCAAGUCGAACGCUCAUCGCAAGAUGAGAGUGGCGGACGGGUGAGGAACACGUGGGUAUCUGCCCUGAGGUGAGGAAUACCGGCGAGAAAUCGCCGACAAGACCGCAUAGGCUUCGCGAGAAGCAAAGUCGCAAGACGCCACAGGAUGAGC